rnacentral:rRNA from 1 species
CGACCGACCUUCGGGAGCUUGCACAGGUGCUGCAUGGCUGUCGUCAGCUCGUGUCGUGAGAUGUUCGGUUAAGUCCGCUAACGAGCGCAACCCUCGCUGUGUGUUACAAGUGUCACACGGUACUGCCGGUCUUAAGCCGGAGGAAGGUGGGGAUGACGUCAAGUCAGCAUGGCCUUUAUGUCCUGGGCUACACACACGCUACAAUGGCCAACACAAUAGGUUGCUAAGCCGCGAGGUGGAGCCAAUCCUCAAAGUUGGUCUCAGUUCAGAUUGCAGGCUGCAACCCGCCUGCAUGAAGAUGGAGUUGCUAGUAACCGCAGGUCAGCUAUACUGCGGUGAAUACGUUCCCGGGGCUU